rnacentral:rRNA from 1 species
CCUACGGGUGACAGCAGUGAGGAAUAUUGGUCAAUGGACGAGAGCCUGAACCAGCCAAGUCGCGUGAAGGAUGACGGCCCUACGGGUUGUAAACUUCUUUUGUCAGGGAGCAAUUGAGUCCACGUGUGGUCUUAGCGAGAGUACCUGAAGAAAAAGCAUUGGCUAACUCCGUCCCAGCAGCUGCGGUAAUAGGGAGGAUGCGAGCGUUAUCCGGAUUUAUUGGGUUUAAGGGGUGCGUAGGCGGAAUAUCAAGUCAGCGGUAAAAAUUCGGGGCUCAACCCAGGCGUGCCGUUGAAACUGAUGGUCUUGAGUGGGCGAGAAGUAUGCGGAAUGCGUGGUGUAGCGGUGAAAUGCAUAGAUAUCACGCAGAACUCCGAUUGCGAAGGCAGCAUACCGGCGCCCAACUGACGCUGAAGCACGAAAGCGUGGGUAUCGAACAGGAUUAGAUACCCGAGUAGUC